rnacentral:lncRNA from 1 species
UGUCGAUAAAACAAUUAAUAUUCUCUGAAACAUGCAUUUGUGUAGCCAAACACAAACUUUCGCUGGUUUAAUGUAUGUAAGGCAUUAAGCACCAUAAUAACAGUAAAACAGGGAAGUCUGCAAAACAAGUAUGACCUUCAGAAUCAUUUUACAGUGUGCAAGAUACAGGUUGUGCGUCACAGUCACAACGACAUUGUAAAAAACGAAAGUAAAAAGUUCUCUCGGUUUUAGGAGCUUUAUAAAAUCAUUCGAAUGAUUUGGAAGUAACAUAAUGAAAAGAUGGAAGGAGACGAAAAAAUCUUUAUGAGAAAAUACAUCUCGGAAUAUCUGCUGUUAAAAACUUCCAAGGAUAGAGUCGGAUGGAAUUUGCAUGCCAAGACAACAGUUAUGCGAUUAGUACAAGCCAGUGUUCAAUUUUCGCUAACAUACAGCAGUAAUGUGUGAUAGACUUUCCACAGCAAUGUUAUGGAGACAAAAUCAGAUUACUGUGAUGUGACCAGGCCAAAAUGUUAAAUUUUUGCAAGCAUACUGAUGUGAUAAGGGCCAGAUUUUUCACAGCAGAGCAAUGUGUACCUGCCAAGAUGCUAAAGUUUUACAAGCAUAUUGAAGUUGUUAUUACAAGCAUACUGAAGUGAUAUGUGUUCCACAGCAGUAAAUUAUCGAAAGAAAAGCAGUAUUCACUUUUCAAAUACUUUGCAGAUAUCUUGAAUUUCAACAAACAUAAUGUAAUUUCAGCUUAAUUAUAGUAUAAGUCUGUAGAAACUUUGCAAUGAAUUUCAGCAUCAAAUGUCUUGCUACAUAUUUCUGACUUUAUGAAGUGUUGCUGUGAUUUGUACUAGCCAUAAUGUUCAAGUUUCUACUUUGCAGAUAUCUUGAAAUUCAACAAGCAUUAUGUUAUUUCAGUUUCACAUGUUUGCAUUGCAUGAUUACUCCAGAUAUGGCCUUAGUGUCAGAAAUACUCUAGAUAAGACCUAUUCACUUUCAUUUAGAAAAUUUGAAAUGCUUUUCAAUCUUAUAUUUUUUUUUCAUUGGAAGCAGAUAGAGUAGAGAAAAGAGGCAAAUGACUGAGUUCAAAGUGAUGUGUGCAUCUUAAAGGAACAGAAACAGAAUUGUAUUUAACAUUCAAAAUUACAGGCUCUUAUUUAGUCCAUAUAUGUACGUAUUGUUUCUCAUUAUGAUAUCUGCCCACAGAAGAGGCAUCUGCCCGUAAAAAAGUUACUAUUGCUUAUUGCAUUUGUUGUCUUUUAAUAUGAAAAGUAUAAGCAGUCUCCGAGAUAACGUUUUGUGCUAAUUUGUCUUUUUGAUAAGUCUAUAUCAUGUCCCGUACGUCCGCAAUUUAUGCAUUGCCAGCUUGUAUGUUAAGUAUGCUGUCCUAAUGAAAUAAUGAGAACAAUAGUAUUCACCUAUAUGAAUAAACAAUUUUAC